GCUAGCUUAGGGGUUCGCAAGAACACCGGCAGACAGUUCCAUAACACGUCGAUAAUCUAACCUUAGAUUGGGGAUAACUUCGGGAAACUGAGGCUAACACCCAAUAGGAGAUUGGUGCUGGAAAGCUCUUUCUCUUAAAGGCAACGUCUAAGGAUGAGUCGGCGGCCGAUUAGGCAGUUGGUGGGGUAUGGCCCACCAAACCAUUGAUCGGUAGGGGCCUUGAGAGAGGAAGCCCCGAGGAGGACACUGAGAUAAGGGUCCUGACUCUACGGAGUAUAGCAAGUGCGAAAACUUUACAAUACAUGAAAGUGUGAUAAGGGGACUCUGAGUGCUUAUGCAUAGCAUAAGCUUUUGCUGAGAAUAAAAAUCUCGGAGAAUAAGUGGUGGGCAAGACUGGUGCCAGCAGCCGCGGUAACACCAGCGCCACGAGUGGGGAUCUAUGUUAUUAGGCCUAAAGCGUCCGUAGCCGGUUUAGUAAAUCUUCUGUGAAAUUGUUGGGCUUAACUCAACGGCGUGCAGGAGACACUGCUGAACUUGAGACCGGGAGGAGUCAGAGGUAUUUCUUGGGUAGCGGUAAAAUGCAAUAAUCCAAGAAAGACCACCUGUGGCGGAGGCGUCUGACUAGAACGGUUCUGACGGUGAGGGACGAAAGCCAGGGGAGCGAACCGGAUUAGAUACCCGAGUAGUCCUGGCUGUAAACUCUGCGAGUUAGGUGUUGCAUAUUCCUCGAGAAUAUGCAGUGUCGUAGUGAAGACGUUAAACUCGCCGCCUGGGUAGUACGGUCGCAAGACUGAAACUUAAAGGAAUAGGCGGGGGAGCACUACAAGGGGUGCGGCGUGCGGUUUAAUCCAACUCAACGCGGAGAAUCUCACCAGAAGCGACGGCAGGAUGAAAGUCAGGCUAAAGACCUUACUUAACAAGCCGAGAGGUGGUGCAUGGCCGUCGUCAGCUCGUGCUGUGAAUUGUCCUGUUAAGUCAGGCAACGAGCGAGACCUGCACCUACAAUUGCCAGCAGCUGAGCAAUCAGGACUGGGCACAUUGUAGGGACUGCCCUGGAAUCAGGGAGGAAGGAGCAGGCAACGGUAGGUCUGUAUGCCCCGAAUCUUCUGGGCUACACGCGCGCAACAAUGGUAGGGACAAUGGGACACAACUCCGAAAGGAGAAGUUAAUCCUCGAAACCCUACCUCAGUACAGAUUGAGGAUUGUAACUCAUCCUCAUGACGUCGGAAUCCCUAGUAACCAGAUGUUAGCAUCGUCCGGUGAAUAUGUCCCUGCUCCUUGCACUCACCGCCCGUCAAGCCAACCGAGCAGGGUCAAGGUGAAAUCUAGCAUUUAACUAGGUUGAAUCUUGGCUCAGUGAGGUGGGCUAAGUCGUCACAAGGUA
rnacentral:rRNA from 1 species